CUCAAGGAUUAAGCCAUGCAUGUCUAAGUAUAAAUAGUAUACAGUGAAACUGCGAAAGGCUCAUUAAAACAGUUAUAGUUUACUUGAUAAUCGAAUUCUACAAGGAUAACCGUAGUAAUCCUAGAGCUAAUACUUGCUGUUAAACCUGACUUCACGGAAAGGUUGUAUUUAUUAGAUAGCAAACCAAUAACCCGAAAGGGUUUUUGUGAUGAUUCAUAAUAACUGAUCGGAGCAAGACAAUGUCUUGCUAAAUCAUUCAAGUUUCUGCCCUAUCACCUAGAUGGUAGUGUAUUUGACUACCAUGGGGAUAACGGGUACGCGGAAUUAGGGUUUGAUUUGCGGAGAGGGAGCCUGAGAAACGGCUACCACUUCUAAGGAAGGCAGCAGGCGCGCAAAUUACCCAAUCCCGAUUCGGGGAGGUAGUGGCAAGAAAUAAUGACUCGGGGUCUCACGACUUACGAGAUCAAAAUGAGAACAAUGUAAAAAACUUAUCGAGGAACAAUUGGAGGGCAAGUUCUGGUGCCAGCAGCCGCGGUAAUUCCAGCUCCAAUAGCGUAUAUUAAAGUUGUUGCAGUUAAAAAGCUCGUAGUCGAUAUUCUAAGUACCUUUUAUGUAUGCUAAGGCUAUAUGAAGGGUACUUAUCCGCCCGAGAACAAUACACGGCCUUAAGUGGUCGGUAUUGCACAUCGGGCAUUUUACUGAGAAAAAAUUAGAGUGUUCAAAGCAGGCUAACGCCUUGAAUACACAAGCUUGGAAUAAUGGAAUAAGACUAAAAUCUUUUUUGUUGGUUAUAAGAUUUUAGUAAUGGUUAAUAGAAACAGUUUGGGGGGCAUUAGUAUUUAAUUGUCAGAGGUGAAAUUCUUGGAUUUAUUAAAGACUAACAUAUGCGAAAGCAUUUGCCAAGGAUGUUUUCAAUUGAUCAAGAACGAAAGUUAGGGGAUCAAAGACGAUUAGAUACCGUCAUAGUCCUAACUAUAAACGAUUCCGACUAUGGAUCGGAAGAGUCAUUUUAGCUCUUUCGGCACAUUAUGAGAAAUCAUAAGCCUUUGGGUUCCGGGGGAAGUAUGGACGCAAGUCUGAAACUUAAAGGAAUUGACGGAAGGGCACACCAGGAGAGGAACUUGCGGCUUAAUUUGACUCAACACGGAGAAACUUACCAGGUCAAGACAUAGGUAGGAUUGACAGAAAUGAGAGCUCUUUCUUGAUUCUAUGGGUGGUGGUGCAUGGCCGUUCUUAGUUGGUGGAGUGAUUUGUCUGGUUAAUUCCGUUAACGAACGAGACCUUAACCUGCUAAAUAGGAGUCAGAUGUAUAAUCUGAUGUCCUUCUUAGAGGGACUAUGCGUGCAAACGCAUGGAAGUUUGAGGCAAUAACAGGUCUGUGAUGCCCCUAGACGUCCUGGGCCGCACGCGUGUUACAAUGACACAGUCAGCAAGUAUUUCCUGCCUCGUAAGAGGUUCGGGUAAUCUUUUUAGUCUGUGUCGUAGUGGGAAUUGUCCUUUGUAAUUAUAGGACAUGAACUAGGAUUUCCUAGUAUAGGUGUGUCAUCAGCGCACCUAGAUUAAGUCCCUGCCCUUUGUACACACCGCCCGUCGCUCCCACCGAUUGAGUGAUUCGGUGAACCUUCUGGACUAGAUGGGUCUUUAAGACUUAUCUGGGAAGUUAAGUAAACCAUUAUCACUUAGAGGAAGGAGAAGUCGUAACAAGGUUUCCGUAGGUGAACCUGCAG
rnacentral:rRNA from 1 species